UCCGAGUUGACCCCGGCAGUCUCCUACGAGUCCCCGCCAUUACGCGCUGGCAACAUAGGACAAGGGUUGCGCUCGUUGCGGGACUUAACCCAACAUCUCACGACACGAGCUGACGACAGCCAUGCACCACCUGUGAUCCUGCCCAAAAGGGAAACCGUGUUUCCACGGCGGUCAGGAACAUGUCAAACCCAGGUAAGGUUCUUCGCGUUGCGUCGAAUUAAACCACAUGCUCCGCUGCUUGUGCGGGUCCCCGUCAAUUCCUUUGAGUUUUAGCCUUGCGGCCGUACUCCCCAGGCGGGGCACUUAUCGCGUUGGCUGCGGCACGGAGGGAGUCGACACCACCCACACCUAGCACCCAUCGUUUACGGCGUGGACUAC
rnacentral:misc_RNA from 1 species